AACGAACGCUGGCGGCAUGCCUAACACAUGCAAGUCGAACGAGACCUUCGGGUCUAGUGGCGCACGGGUGCGUAACGCGUGGGAACCUGCCUUUAGGUUCGGGAUAACUCAGAGAAAUUUGAGCUAAUACCGGAUGAUGUCUUCGGACCAAAGAUUUAUCGCCUUUAGAUGGGCCCGCGUUGGAUUAGCUAGUUGGUGGGGUAAAGGCCUACCAAGGCGACGAUCCAUAGCUGGUCUGAGAGGAUGAUCAGCCACACUGGGACUGAGACACGGCCCAGACUCCUACGGGAGGCAGCAGUGGGGAAUAUUGGACAAUGGGCGAAAGCCUGAUCCAGCAAUGCCGCGUGAGUGAUGAAGGCCUUAGGGUUGUAAAGCUCUUUUACCCGAGAUGAUAAUGACAGUAUCGGGAGAAUAAGCUCCGGCUAACUCCGUG
rnacentral:rRNA from 1 species